GUGUCAAAAAGUUUUUUUAAAAACCCAAAACUAUUGAUACAUAAAUUGCAUUUUCUAACUUUUGAAGAGGCCAAAAAGGACAGAAAGUGUUGAAUGGGGACAGAAACUGAUACUGUGUUGCAAAGUUCUGGAUAAGGUGUGUUGCCUUUUCAUGGGAACCCAACGAAUUCCUUGCACUUACUGCCUGGAAAUGAAAGAAUGUGAGCAGCAGUAACGGCCAAGGUGAAAGAAACCAAACAACUUCCAGAUAAAUUGAAAGAGCUGCUCUUCAAAGGCUUCCUUCCUCUUCUUCCAGUAGAAUAGCAUAUGUGGAAUAAAAACCAACUAACUAAGAAAGGUGACAGGCAGGAAUCCUAAAUCUAAGAAGGAAAUGAUGUGAUCCAGCUCAGAAAAGAUGUUCUUGGAAGCCUUGCUGGACUGAAGAUAACCUAGUCUGAGAUUCACAAAUUCUAAUACAUAUGUGCUGUAGCAAAGCACUGCCUGAAUAAUUCCUGAGUAGUCAAAAACAAAGUCCUGGCUGAUACUGAAUGCUGUUGCUAACUGCAACUUCUGCUGCCUCUACCAAUGGUGGCUACAGUUACUGUGAGCAAGGUACAUAUAAGAACCAUUGAUCUCGAUGUUUUUACUUCAACUAAAGACUGAGGUAAUGUGUUCUUACUUUUCUUUAUCAAAACCAGGAGAGGACUAAGUAGAGUGAAGACUCCAUAGAGUUAAAUGGGAACAAUAUAAAGAAGGCAGCAGAAAGUGAGGGUAAGCAUUGUUAAUGUGGAUAAAAGUAGAACAGGAGACCAUAACCUAAAUAUAAUAUCAUAUUUAAUUUGUUGCAUUUGCUACUUUAUUUACCCAUUCUCCUAAUAAAUAUAGCAAGAAUAAAAUGCAAGGCAGAAACACCACUAUUGAAAUAAAUAAUGGAGGACAGCUGUGUGAUAUCUGGGAAAGAAACAUUCAAGACCCAGAAAUACCAAUAUGUUAAAGUUCAUGAGGCAAGUAGCAGUGACCAUUUUUAAACACUGCUUGUCUAAUCAUCCAAGCUGUUGAAUUACACAACUAUUGAGGUAAAUAGGAACUGCUGCUGCUGAUCUCUUGUUACAAAUUAGGCCACCGGAGAAACUGCUGGGUAGCUGAUCUGAAAAAAGUUAUUGUUAGGGAGCGGUAAGUUCAGAUAAUGAUUACAUUUAAGACUAAGUAGGUGACUGAGUCUUGUAUACAUUUCACCAGUUCAGCUGUACAACCCUCUUUAUUUUAUUUAUUUUUUUAGUUCAAGCAUACAUCUGAUUUUUGUAAUUACUUUCUCAAAGACUUCUGAAAAAAAAUCUAUUCCCAAAAGCCCAAGGAUUGUCUAGUGACAGGUAGUCUGAAACAAUGCAUUUCAGCAAAUUGAAUUUUUAGUAAACAGGUUACUGGGAAGAUAAGCAGCUUAAGUCAGCUAGAAAAGAAUGUUCACAAAUAGAACAUUAUUGCAUCAACUUCCCUCCAAACUGCUUUGUAAUUGCCAGAAGCACACAGUAAGCACAUUUCCUGUGCUUUGGGCUGUAGAACAGUAAUUCAAAUUUUAGGGCAUCUAGUACCAAUUUAAAAUCAUCAUAGUCUAGUGAUUCAAAGCAUUGAGCCACUAUACAGUCAAUGCAAACUUGCUCAAAAGGGGUGUUUGUUAAUUUGUUUGAUAGGUAACUUCAAACUGUCUGACUGUGGUUCUGUUAUUCUGUGUCUGACUGGACCUUCACAGGUAGCCCAGACUUUUCUUUUUGGUAGUUCCUUCUUUUUGCCUUCCCCACUUUCUGUGCUCAGAUGUAUAGUACACUGCUGUCCUCAUGUGUGCCUACCCCCAGUCCUCUUUCAGUUGGACGUUCACAAGAUAUUGUAUUCAAAUCUUUUUUUGAUAUUUGC